AACCUUAUAUUCAGAACACAAUCGAUGUUAAGGAGAAAAGUUUGAGGAGAGAUAGAAGGGUUUAGGAGAGAGAAACUCAAUUAUGGUUUCUUUAAGGGUGUCAAAGCUAGGGGUUGCAAUUUUGAAAACAUGAAAAGAGAGGUGUGUGAGAAAGAAUCAGUGACGUACAUUGAAGGAGAGGGUUAUAUGUUUCUGUGAUUUGUUUUUUUUUUCAUGUUUUAAUUUUUUUUUCCUUUACAAUCUUUUUAGCAUGGAAUUAAGUUGAAAGAAGUUUUUAAAAUUUGUUCGACAGGUGCAAUAUAGAAUUAUUCUUUUUAAAUUAUGUUUUAUUUUGCAAAAUCUGGUACUUCCAUGAGUAACAUGGAUGGACCUUUAACACAUGACCAUUUUUAAAUUUUUCAAAAAUGAGUGUCAGAGAGCAGCAAAGAAUGGUGGAUUUUUCUUAAGAUGUCAAGUCAAUGAAACUUAUGGGGAAACAAAAGUUAAGAAGGAAAAUAUUGUUAGCAAUAAUGGGAGUGUGAAUGAGAAGAACGUUAGCAAGUUCAUGAGCUUUGAUAGGUUCUUUGAACUAGUUAUGAGGUGGAGUAGUUUUGCUAAUAAUGAUAACAAUCAAUUUUAGGUAGUGAAAUAAUAGAAAGUAAAAUUUGGUACUGUUUUUAA
rnacentral:lncRNA from 1 species